rnacentral:rRNA from 1 species
UACGUAGGGAGCAAGCGUUGUUCGGAUUUACUGGGCGUAAAGGGCGCGUAGGCGGCCAAUUAAGUCAGCUGUGAAAUCUCCGAGCUUAACUCGGAACGGUCAGCUGAUACUGAUCUGCUAGAGUGCGGAAGGGGCAGUCGGAAUUCUUGGUGUAGCGGUGAAAUGCGUAGAUAUCAAGAGGAACACCUGAGGUGAAGGCGGGUUGCUGGGCCGACACUGGCGCUGAGUGCGCGAAAGCCAGGGGAGCAAACGGG